rnacentral:tRNA from 1 species
GCCCCCGUAGCUCAGGCGGAUAGAGCAGCGGUUUCCUAAACCGUUUGCCGGGUGUUCGAGUCACCCCGGGGGCGCCA